UAUUGUGGGUUAUUGUUGCUAGCAGAACGGAACUCCACGGUGAGCUGACGUACUUCCGCUUAAAAUCUCAGCCACCACGUUCACUUCCGCUGCUAUGGCAUCCAUCGUCCAUAUUGAUUGUCCAAAACUAGUCAAGUGAAGAGAAUCGACGAAAAAGUUCAAAUGUCAGCGAACAUAUGGUACAACUGCUGAACACUGCUGGGUGCCUUUAUGCCAGAAUUCAAUGUACAACGGUGUGCUUCGUGUUUUUUUUUUUUUAACCUUUCCUGUGGACGAGGAGCUUUCCUAUGGGUAGUCGCCAUGCUUCCUCGGACAAAGAUAUCCGUUUCUUCACCAGGUUUGCAUCACAUGACCUGCUCAUCCUUCCAGUCAGUCGGAUCAUCACAUCAUGAGGCUCAGUGAGGAUUUGGAUAC